rnacentral:tRNA from 1 species
GGCAUAGCUCAGUGGUAGAGCACAUGCUUAGUACGCAUGAGGUCCUGGGUUCAAUUCCCCAGUAAUGCCA